UGGGGAAUUUUGGACAAUGGGGGAAACCCUGAUCCAGCCAUCCCGCGUGUGCGAUGAAGGCCUUCGGGUUGUAAAGCACUUUUGGCAGGAAAGAAACGUCGCGGGUUAAUACCCCGCGAAACUGACGGUACCUGCAGAAUAAGCACCGGCUAACUACGUGCCAGCAGCCGCGGUAAUACGUAGGGUGCAAGCGUUAAUCGGAAUUACUGGGCGUAAAGCGUGCGCAGGCGGUUCGGAAAGAAAGAUGUGAAAUCCCAGAGCUUAACUUUGGAACUGCAUUUUUAACUACCGGGCUAGAGUGUGUCAGAGGGAGGUGGAAUUCCGCGUGUAGCAGUGAAAUGCGUAGAUAUGCGGAGGAACACCGAUGGCGAAGGCAGCCUCCUGGGAUAACACUGACGCUCAUGCACGAAAGCGUGGGGAGCAAACAGGAUUAGAUACCCUGGUAGUCCACGCCCUAAAACGAUGUCAACUAGCUGUUGGGGCCUUCGGGCCUUGGUAGCGCAGCUAACGCGUGAAGUUGACCGCCUGGGGAGUACGGUCGCAAGAUUAAAACUCAAAUGAAUUGACGGGGUCGAUGCUG
rnacentral:rRNA from 1 species